GCGUGCUUAACACAUGCAAGUCGAACGCUGAAGCCCAGCUUGCUGGGUGGAUGAGUGGCGAACGGGUGAGUAACACGUGAGUAACCUGCCUAUCACUCUGGGAUAAGCGCUGGAAACGGCGUCUAAUACUGGAUAUGUCCCAUCACCGCAUGGUGUGUGGGUGGAAAGAUUUAUCGGUGGUAGAUGGACUCGCGGCCUAUCAGCUUGUUGGUGAGGUAAUGGCUCACCAAGGCGACGACGGGUAGCCGGCCUGAGAGGGUGACCGGCCACACUGGGACUGAGACACGGCCCAGACUCCUACGGGAGGCAGCAGUGGGGAAUAUUGCACAAUGGGCGCAAGCCUGAUGCAGCAACGCCGCGUGAGGGAUGACGGCCUUCGGGUUGUAAACCUCUUUUAGUAGGGAAGAAGCGCAAGUGACGGUACCUGCAGAAAAAGCACCGGCUAACUACGUGCCA
rnacentral:rRNA from 1 species